UACGUAGGAGGCAAGCGUUAUCCGGAAUGACUGGGCGUAAAGGGUGCGUAGGUGGCAUGGCAAGUCAGAAGUGAAAGGCCGGGGCUCAACUCCGGGACUGCUUUUGAAACUGUUGAACUAGAUUGCAGGAGAGGUAAGUGGAAUUCCUAGUGUAGCGGUGAAAUGCGUAGAUAUUAGGAGGAACACCAGUGGCGAAGGCGGCUUACUGGACUGUAAAUGACGCUGAGGCUCGAAGGCGCGGGUAUCGA
rnacentral:rRNA from 1 species